rnacentral:siRNA from 1 species
AGUGGCAGAGUGGCCUUGCUGC